GCCCCUGUAGCUCAGAGGAUAGAGUAGCAGAUUCCUAAUCUGUUGGCCGCAGGUUCGAGUCCUGCCAGGGGCA
rnacentral:tRNA from 1 species